rnacentral:rRNA from 1 species
UCGACUUGGAGGUUGUGCCCUUGAGGCGUGGCUUCCGGAGCUAACGCGUUAAGUCGACCGCCUGGGGAGUACGGCCGCAAGGUUAAAACUCAAAUGAAUUGACGGGGGCCCGCACAAGCGGUGGAGCAUGUGGUUUAAUUCGAUGCAACGCGAAGAACCUUACCUGGCCUUGACAUCCACGGAAUUCGGCAGAGAUGCCUUAGUGCCUUCGGGAACCGUGAGACAGGUGCUGCAUGGCUGUCGUCAGCUCGUGUUGUGAAAUGUUGGGUUAAGUCCCGCAACGAGCGCAACCCUUAUCCUUUGUUGCCAGCGAGUAAUGUCGGGAACUCAAAGGAGACUGCCGGUGACAAACCGGAGGAAGGUGGGGAUGACGUCAAGUCAUCAUGGCCCUUACGGCCAGGGCUACACACGUGCUACAAUGGCGCAUACAAAGAGAAGCGAACUCGCGAGAGCAAGCGGACCUCACAAAGUGCGUCGUAGUCCGGAUCGGAGUCUGCAACUCGACUCCGUGAAGUCGGAAUCGCUAGUAAUCGUAGAUCAGAAUGCUACGGUGAAUACGUUCCCGGGCCUUGUACACACCGCCCGUCACACCAUGGGAGUGGGUUGCAAAAGAAGUAGGUAGCUUAACCUUCGGGAGGGCGCUUACCACUUUGUGA